rnacentral:tRNA from 1 species
GCCUCUAUAGCUCAGUGGUAGAGCACUGGUCUCGUAAACCAGGGGUCGUAAGUUCAAAUCUCACUGGAGGCA